GCAGCACGUAAUAGAGGAAGACAGCACUCAGGAAGAUAGCCACGAGGUAGCCUCUCAUGGCUGGCUCUCCUGAAACACAAUCUCAUCAAAGCGGGCACAGCUCUGCAGCU